UACGUAGGGUGCGAGCGUUGUCCGGAAUUAUUGGGCGUAAAGAGCUCGUAGGCGGUGUGUCACGUCGGCCGUGAAAACCUGGGGCUUAACUCUGGGCGUGCGGUCGAUACGGGCAUCACUAGAGUUCGGCAGGGGAGACUGGAAUUCCUGGUGUAGCGGUGAAAUGCGCAGAUAUCGGGAGGAACACCGGUGGCGAAGGCGGUUCUCUGGGCCUGUACUGACGCUGAGGAGCGAAAGCGUGGGGAGCGAACAGG
rnacentral:rRNA from 1 species